rnacentral:rRNA from 1 species
GACGAACGCUGGCGGCGUGCUUAACACAUGCAAGUCGAACGGAAAGGCCCUGCUUUUGCGGGGUGCUCGAGUGGCGAACGGGUGAGUAACACGUGAGUAACCUGCCCUUGACUUUGGGAUAACUUCAGGAAACUGGGGCUAAUACCGGAUAGGAGCUCCUGCUGCAUGGUGGGGGUUGGAAAGUUUCGGCGGUUGGGGAUGGACUCGCGGCUUACCAGCUUGUUGGUGGGGUAGUGGCUUACCAAGGGUUUGACGGGUAGCCGGCCUGAGAGGGUGACCGGCGACAAUGGGACUGAGAUACGGCCCAGACUCCUACGGGAGGCAGCAGUGGGAAAUAUUGCACAAUGGGCGGAAGCCUGAUGCGGCAACGCCGCGUGCGGGAUGACGGCCUUCGGGUUGUAAACCGCUUUCGCCUGUAACGAAGCGUGAGUGACGGUAAUGAGUAAAGAAGCACCGGCUAACUACGUG